rnacentral:rRNA from 1 species
AUCCCAGUUCGGAUCGCAGGCUGCAACCCGCCUGCGUGAAGUUGGAAUCGCUAGUAAUCGCGGAUCAGCAUGCCGCGGUGAAUACGUUCCCGGGCCUUGUACACACCGCCCGUCACACCAUGAGAGUCGGAACACCGAGUCCGUAGUCUAACCGCGAAGGGGACGCGGCCGAAGGUGGGUUCGAUAAUUGGGGUGAAGUCGUAACAAGGUACC